rnacentral:lncRNA from 1 species
CAAGAAGUGCCUAUGGACAAAUCCUUCGAAUAUAGCUUAAGGCAACCAUUAGUCCAUAGGGAUUUCCAUCAAUUACCAAAACCACAUACGGAGAAAUAUGCUCUAACACACGGGCAUGGGGAAAGUUGAACCCAGAAACAUGGAAGUGUAUUUACACAAUAGAGCAACUUGCAACACCCGUGGAAGCCCUUCGAACUGCAAUAAAGGACGUGAAUGACGAGAAGUUCAUUUCCUGCACAGAGAACAGCGAGCUGACACGCGCCCUCGGGAAUCUUGAACACAGUGGACGAACACGAGGCACACCACGCUCCGUUCCAUGGAAGGUUGGGGUUCCCGACGACAGGGACAACUAUAGAAGCCGAGCGAGAAAGAAGAAACAUGAAGAAUACCAGAAUAAACAGGAAGCAUACCAGCUGUAGAAGGUAGAAGAAAAAUUAGAGGUCGAGCAGCAGAUAAUAGAUAGGCAUACGAGAGAGAGAGCUACCACCGACCCAGUUGAUCCUGCA